rnacentral:rRNA from 1 species
CAGUAGCCACGGUAAUACGUAGGUGGCAAGCGUUGUCCGGAAUUAUUGGGCGUAAAGGGCUCGCAGGCGGUUUCUUAAGUCUGAUGUGAAAGCCCCCGGCUCAACCGGGGAGGGUCAUUGGAAACUGGGAAACUUGAGUGCAGAAGAGGAGAGUGGAAUUCCACGUGCAGCGGUGAAAUGCGUAGAGACGUGGAGGAACACCAGUGGCGAAGGCGACUCUCUGGUCUGUAACUGACGCUGAGGAGCGAAAGCGUGGGGAGCGAACAGGAUUAGAUACCCCCGUAGUCCCUGUCUCUUAUAC